rnacentral:rRNA from 1 species
AAUGUAAUUCAUACAAUGUUAAUGCACUGGAUCCCAUUAGAACUCUGAAGUUAAGUGUGCUUAGGCUAGAUUUGUACUAGGAUGGGUGACCUCCACAGAAGUCCUAGUGUUUUACAUGC